CUGCCAUGGAGACACGGCCCAGCGGCCGCCGGCCCCGCCCUGGGAGCCCCGCAGUGCGUCGCGCCGCUGCCCGCAUCUCCGAGGCCCGCGACGAGCGGGGCCUCACGGGAGCUGGAUGCUCGGAGCAGCAAGGCGGCCCUGGGGGCCCCUUCCGGUCCCGGGGCUGACGCCUGGCGGCGUCUCCGGGAACCCGCGCCCUUUCAAGCGCCGCUGGCUCCUGUUUCACAGAUGGAGACCCUGAAGCCCCAACAAGCAGCCUCCCCAGCACCUCCCAGUGACUGAAAAAGCUGGCACUGGGCGCCCGUCUCACUCUCCACCCAGCUCCCAGGCUGCCCCACGGGACCAGCACCUUUGGGGAGAGACGAGACCUGAACAAACGCUGGGGCUGGAUCCCCAGGGUGGGUCAGAACAGCCGUUGCCCUGAAAGCUGGCCCGGACAGAUGCGUGCGGGGCGUGCCACCGGAGCUCCUUCCAGCUUGCGUCUGGGGCCACCAUGUCCCUUCCUCAGGGCACUGGAUCCAUCUCUUCAAGCUCAGUGGUCCAGGCCAUGGUGGCAGAAUCACCCCCCAGGGUGUGACGCCUCGUCCCUGUCAAUUCCACACAGCUGCACCCGGAAGAGCUGUGGCCGGGCGCCGCUCUGACCUGUGUGCGGUCCCCUGAAUGGGUCUCAGGUGUCUUCAGAAUGGUGAGGCCGCCUCAUUUCCUCACCACACAACCCUCCUGAGGACGUUGCCUGCAAAUGGGCGGAAUUCCUAAUUUCUACCAUUCAGUUAAACGAGGGAUCCUUAAGCCCCAAAGCUGGGAAAGCUGUCCGUUAAUUUAGUGCGCGUGGGCCGUCUCAGAACAGCAGGGUUCCCAGGAGUCCAGCGGGACGGGGGAGGGGAUGAGUGGCCGUGUCCCCCUGGCAGAGAAGGCCUUGUCUGAAGGCUACGCCCGCCUCCGGUACAGGGACACCUCCUUGCUCAUCUGGCAGCAGCAACAGCAGAAGUUGGAGUCGGUGCCACCUGGGACGUACCUGAGCAGGAGCCGAAGCAUGUGGUACUCACAGUAUGGAAAUGAGGCCAUCUUGGUCCGAGACAAAAACAAGCUCGAGGUCUCUAGGGACACAGGGCAGUCCAAGUUUUGCACAAUUAUGUAAUUCCGAUGUGAGCACCUGAACCCAGGACCACACUUUGAGGAAAACAGACCUGAGUUUCAUUCAGUUGUCUUGUUGAUUUCCAAUCCUUGCUGGAAGAUUUUGAAUAAUGAACGUGAAGAUCAAACUGUGGUGUAAGAACCCAAGAAGCGCAGAAUUGGCCCCCGAACCCCUCAGCACAGCCGCGGUGUGACUGGUGCACAGGACACUUCCCCUCUAGAGUCCCCUCCGUGGUCAGCUGUUGUGACAUUUGAAUUCUCCAGGUGCUGCUAGGGACAGCAUAGGCCCGGGCACUGCUAGAUGCUUGGUUUAAACCAGGCCAAGAGUAACCCUCCCAUCCCCAUUACAAACCACCUUUUCAAGUUUUUUAGGUUUUAGUUUUUUGUUUUUAGCAUAAAUGGCGGAGUAGCAGCAGCAUCUCACCAGGAGCUUUGUCGCAUUACAUUUUGUAUUUUGCUUUUUUGAGACGGGGUCUCACUCUGUUACCCAGGCUGGAAUACAGUGGCACAAUCACAGCUCACUGUAGGCUCUAUCUCCUGGGCUCAGGUGAUCCUCCCAAACUCAGCCUCCCAGGUAGCUGUGGCUCCAGGCGAACUACUGUAUAUAGAGACAGGGUUUCCCUAUGUUGCCCAGGCUGGUCUGGUCUUAUAGUCCUGGGCUCAAGCCUCCCAGAGUGCUGGGAUUACAGGCAUGGGUCACCGCACCAAGCCCGCAUUUAUAUUUUGAGUUACCAAAAUGAUCAUCAUCUGUGAAGCAUCAUGGUAGCUUCCAAGCAUUUGCGGCCCACUGGCCAGUGCAUCCAAAACACAUUCAGGAAACCCGAGAGUUGUAAGUUGCACAUGUGUGGCCUACAGUGACUUCCAUGUAGUAACAGGGCUGAGCAAGGCAGGCUCUCCACCAGACUUAAAGCAUUCAACCACUCUGCCCCCAGGCCGACACUGACAUGUGUUCACUGUCGCUGCCACAGCUGGCCACCUGUGUUCAGUCUCCAUGAAGGAUUCACCUUCUGCUCUCACUGACAUCUCCUUGGCUACACAAAUGUGCAGGUGUCUCUUGUCAAAGCUAAUUUUUCUUUUCUAAAUAAACAUCCUUUAAUACACUCCUCCCCUUCCUCACACUUAUUUUUAUCCUUGUUCGUAAUAUCCUACUUGGCUUCCCAUUUUUUAUAGCAGUAAUAUGUAAUUGAUUGCUAAAGACUGCAAUACACAAAGGCAUAAAGCAAAGCACAAGUGCUCUCCGUGGGGAGAACCCGGCCGGCAGCUGGGGAUGCGUCCCACAGCUCCUCAGCAUGCACACACGGUCACGUGAUUCUGACGGCCUCAUCCUGCACCAUGCCUCUUGUAUCCGCCAUUUUCUUUCUUGCUCAACUGUACAGACUGGGCAUUCACUUAAUGCUUUUCUUUUUUUUUAAGAGAGUCUCACUCUGUUGCCCAGGCUGGAGUGCAAUGGCACAAUCUCAGCUCACUGCAACCUCUGCCUCCUGGGUUCAGGCGAUUCUCCUGCCUCAGCCUCCUGAGUAGCUGGAAUUACAGGUGCCUGCCACCACGCCUGGCUAAUUUUUCUAUUUUUAAUAGAGACAAGGUUUCACCAUGUUGGCCAGGCUGGUCUCGAACUGCCAAUCUCAGGUGAUCUGCCCACCUCGGCCUCCCAAAGUACUGGGAUUACAGGCGUGAGCCACCGCACCCGGCCCACUUCAUGCUUUUAACCUCUGACUCGCAGCUCUCCCGUGAGCCCACAGACGGGCACAGUGACAGCAUCCAGGUUGUCAUCUGUGCAAACAGCAUGUUCUGAAUGUGCCUGUACUCUGUUCGUGCUUCUCUUUGCAGCUGUGCAAGUUCAUUCGCAAACGUCCUAGAAGUGGAACUGCUGGGUCAAAGUGCAUUCCCCAAAUGUCCUGCCAGAGGCCUGGUCGGCAGCAGCCUCCUGCACAGCCCGAGUCCCUUCUGCGAGAGUCCUGGCUUGUUUGCAGCCUGCAGCUGGGAGAUUUGAAGUCAGACUUCCAGGAUUGCCGCAUGGAGCUGCAGAGGGAGUGAGCAUGGGGCUGGAGGACCUGCCCCGCCGGCUGACACUCCCACAGCAAGGCGGGCCCGCCAAGGAAGCACUCCACAUCCGCUAGGCCUAGUUCCAGAGCUGUCAUUCUUCGGCGAGCCGCGCUGCACGCCAGCCUCCAGUCUGGCAGUUAAACCUCACUAUGAAAAUCUGCUUUUGGGAUUUUAUUUGCAUUUCCAUUAGACUGAGCGCAUCACAAGCCACUUCAGGAUAGACUGAGGUGCAGAGGGAGGGGACAAGCGGCCAGGUUGACUAGAAGAGCACAGAACCUGGCUGUCUCGAAGAGGGCAGCUUGUUCCAGGGAACCAAUGAACUGUCAGUAAAGGGGAUUGUGGCUUCCUAGUGAGGCAAGAAAUGAUGCUCCCUUCAUCCUGCCAGGGCUCAGGACAAGAGCUACUUAAUGGUUUGAUUAUUAUUAUUUUUUAAGAGAUGUUGUCCAGGCUGGAGUGCAGUGAUGCAAUCAUGGCUUACUGCAGCCUCAAACUCCUGGCCUCAGGCCAUCCUCCUGCCUCAGCCUCCCAAAGUGCUGUGAUCACAGGCACGAGCCACUGCAUCCUGCCUUUAAAUGGUUUUUUGGGGCCCCUUUUGGAUGCUCUGGGUGUUUUUGCCAAGAGUUACAGGAUGUCAAGUGUGGGGAGCUCAGCACCCUUGCUGUGGACCAGUGAAGGCUGUUCCAGACCAGGUGCUUCCAGACAUUUCCAGGCUCCAGGAGAGAGGCUGGGAGCCCCCACAGAAAGCACAGGAAAAUGCAAAAAAAAAAAACAGUC
rnacentral:lncRNA from 1 species